rnacentral:rRNA from 1 species
CGACCACCCAGGGCCGGAAAAGUUGGUCAAACUCGGUCAUUUAGAGAAAGUA